rnacentral:lncRNA from 1 species
UUUUUUUUUCCUUUUUUCUCUUUUGUUGACUCUUUUUCUCUUUGGGACUGAUCUGUCUUUAUUUUUCUUGACACUCUUCCUUUUUUUUGACAUACUUUCUCGUUUUCUGUUUUGGACUUUUGACUUCAUUUUUUUCUUGACACUCUUUUUUUAACUUUUUGAAUCCAUCUUGAUUCCAAAAGAGAGGUAUGAAAGAAAAUAGAACUAAAGCUCAAAUGAGGUAAACAAAGGAUGACACAAUACUUAGAUAGUAAAUGAAAUGCUUUCGUCAUAUCAAUCCUUGAAGAUGCUAGUACAUAGCAUAUAAUGUGAAAGUGCAUGACCAGUAUCACUUAUGACAUGUUUUGCAACACUAACUUUCCCUGAGCAUGUGUGUCCCUUCUUCUUCUACACUUGUCAAAAUACAACUCCACAUUUGUUGUACAUCUCUCACAUUGAAUGACUCAUGCUUUCGUGAAGUUGAUUUUUCUGUUUCUCUAGAUCGCACAUCCUCUAUUUGACCUAAUUGAGCUAUGUUUUACAAUUGAUGACCAAGUUAUUCUUGUGCUUCUCAAAAUAAUUGCCUGAAUUUUCAAAGAAGGCUUGAACUUGUCUCCAAAUGUCUCAGCACUCUACGUAUUUUCUCAGAUGCUCUUUUUUUUUUAUAUAACUUUAACCCUCUGAUUCAAUGUUCAUGCUUAAAUUAAAUUUUAAGAUCUGGCUGAAAAUUCCACUAGCAUGUCAUAUCACUAGAAUUAACCUAAAAUGUACUGUGUAAAGAAAACAAACAAACAACACAUAUUUAAAAUACAAAAAAAAGGACACUUCAUUUAAUUAAAAUAAAAGAUAGAAGGGUUUGAACAUAACGACAAAUGGACAAAACAAGAUAGAUCCCAAAAUAUAACCCCAAAAUAAUUCAGAUAACAGAAAAUAAAACAAAACAAACUACCAGACCUAUUCCUAGUAGGGCGAGGGGUGACUUCUCAAUUACUCAGCCUGACAUCUUAGCCACUGUUUUGCAUAUCAGCAUGACUAGAGUUUUCCUCACUGUCAAUGUUCUGCACCAUAAUCAAUUUGUCUUGAAUCAUCUUUUUAAUUUCUCUUUUUAAAGAAUGACAAUCUUCAAUACUGUGACCCUGAACAUCAGAAUAAUAUGCAUAUCGUACAUAAGGAUCAAAACUUCUUGAAUAUGGGUCAGGAGUAUACCCAAGGAGAGGAGUGAUCAUGCCUUGCUGUGCCAAUCUCUGAAAUUAAUUAGCAUACGACUCUCCAAUUGGUGUAGAACCAUCCCUCAAUUUCUGCCUCAUUUCAUUGUUUAACUUGGAUCAAACAUCGGGCCUAGAAAGGCUUUGGUAUGUCUAUGGAAUUGAAGAAUGACUUUAAGGAGUUGGUGCGCGCCAUUGUGGGUAAGCAGGGAGUUGAACAUAUGGUUGUGUGCAAUAGACUAGAUAUGGAGGUGAGGAAACAGAGUAUAAUGGAUUUUGGGAGUGAUUAUGGAGAUCUUGGGUAUGAACUUGGGUUUGAGACUGAUGGCAACGAUGACAUCGUCUUUUUGGAUGUGCCCGUUCUCUAACUACAAUAGUAGUGUCAUCUUUCUCAUUCUUCUUCCCUCCAGGUUCCCUUAAUUGAUGCAAUAUUGUCUCAAAUGUUUCACGAAUUCCUCAUGCCCAUCUUGCUCCUUAAAUUUCAAUAUCUCAAAGAUUGGAGGAAGGUUAGCACUUGAAGGCAUGCCCCAGUCUUUGUAUGGAACAUCUUCUUUACCCGCACGUCCUAGAGAAUUUUUCAUAGCAUUUUCUGCACUCUUCAUUUUUCCAACCACUUUUUCCGACUCUUCUGGCACACUGGACUUUUUGUGAAUAAAUUUUGGUGGUCUAGUUAACUUAAAAGCAGGCUCAGGAGUAUAACAAUGAUCACCAAGAGUAUUGAAUAUAUGUUUACUAGCAGCAUGGGGACGCACAACCGUUGGGCGAGCCAGUGUGGAAGUCCCAGUAGAGGAUUGAGCAAUAAGAUCACAAACGACAUAUGGUGUUGUGAAUAUAGCAGGCUUAUGCUGAGGAGCUAGAGAGAAAGUGGUGGAAGUAUUGAAAUGCUUUUGGCUUAGAAUGAAUUCUGAGUCAUGUUGCAGUGCAUCAAUAACAGUAGGAAAUUGACUUUGAAAUUUUGGUGGAAAACUCGAGGUAUUUGUAGGAUCAACCCACUGGCCCAAGCUCGAUGCAUUUAUGUCAUUUGUUGUCUUAGUCUCCUAAUCUCUUGCUUCAAACUCUCAUUUUUCUAAUUCUUUGUUUGAUCCAUGAUGUCACUCUCUAUAUCUUUGUUGGACACAACUAACCCUUUGGAUUUAGUGUGAUGUGAAGGACCAGCCAGAAUGCUACAAACCAAUCACCUUAAACUUACUCAACAAAAAAAUAACAAAUGUGUUAGAGUUCAACACUUUUUUAAAAUCUCUUUUUCUUUUUCUUUUUUUUUUUAAAAAAGAUAAGAUCAUCAAACUCAAGAAGGGCGCCUACGUAUCUCACUCCCGAGAGAGAAGAAUCAGGUGUGCGUAGUUCGUGAAGUCUUGCCAAAAUGGCCAGUUAAACUCUUUUUCUAUUCCUUGAAACUUUAAGAAGAAAAGAAAAUAACAAUUUGUCAAAAGAAUUGACGAAAAUCUUAUUGAAUUUUUCAGCUUUAACAUCUCUAUACAAAAAGAAAUUUAUAAUUACCAAAGAAAAAUCUUUUUUGGGUUUUCAGUUUUGAAUUUCAUAUGAAAAUGAAACUUGAACCUAUUAAAGGAAAAUCUUUUUGCAGUUUUCUUUUAAAGAGUAUAUGAAACACUUACUCUAAAUAAAGAAUGAAGAAAAUCUUUUUGAAUUUUUCAAAUAAGAUCUCCGAACCAACAAUAGGCUGCCUACGUAUCUCACUCCCGAAAGAGGAGAAUUAGGGGUGCGUAGUUCAUCCAAAUUGGACAAUUAAGAAUUAUAGAACAAACAAAACCUUGACUUGAGAGACACGACUGCACGAUGAAAAUAAAAUCUUUUUGGAUUUUUAAUUUGACACUUCAUACAAAAAUGACACCAACAACUAUGAAAGAAAAAUCUUUUUUUUGAAAUUUUUGAAUUAUGGAUGCAUGAUAAAAGAAUAAAAGAAAAAUCUUUUUGAUGUUUUUGAGAAAAAUGAGUGUGAAAGGUAAAAAAAAUCUUUUUGAAUUUUUGGAUUGUGAAAGAAAAUCAAAAGUCAUAAAGAACUCUAAAAACAUACGAAACACUCUUUUUUUCUUUUCAACUCGCUUUUUUUCUAUUUUUUUUAACAUUUCUUACCUACGCACCUUACUUCUAACACAUGCUUUCCCCAAAUUAGUUUGUCAAAUGACCACAUUACCCUCAAAGAUGCAAUAUUUAGCACGUAGGGAUGCUUUUAGAGGUAAAUCUCCUAUAAAGGGCCACAUGGGUCCCGCCAGGUCUCAAUAUGAUGUAAAUAAACAUGACCUAAAGGCUGACCUACGUUGGGGUCCACUAACAAGGCUGUUCGAGGGAGCGUAUGGUCGAUAGUGGCCUGCUUUAGCUAGCCACCUACUCCAUACAACCCAACGGCUUCCCCCCUAAAAUAAGGGUGACUCAACUACAAGUCGUAUACACACGUGUACUACGAACUUGUUGAAGAAAGAAUGACUCGGGUUAUGCACAUGAUGCCAGAUAUAAAACGGUAAUUCAUAAAGUAAAAACUGUAAACAAAGAGCACGUAGACACUCAACAAUGAUAAACAAUAACACAAAACAACACAAACAAAAUAUCUAUACAUCUAUAGUGCCAAAUUAAGCCGAUACAACUCCAAAAUAAGCUUGAAUUCUAAAAAUUUCCCCAGUGGAGUCGCCAGAGCUGUCACGCCCAUUUUUUUUAACUCCAAAAAGAUUGAUUUUAACGUUUGAAAGGGUUUUUAUUAUUAAAGUGACAAAAAGAUGAAAAUUUUUGGUCCGAAAAGGAUCUUUUAUAAUUAAAUUCAGAGUCACCACUUGACAUAGAUUGGGUGUGUCAAGUCACCUUUGGAAAUCCUUUGUCAAAAUAAUUUGACUCUAAACUGAUCCGCGAAUAAAGAUUCCAGCUAAGGAAUUCUGUUGACCGAGGGGAAGGUAUUAGGCACCCCUCGGUCCCGUGGUUAGACCACAGUCGCUCAGUGAAGUAUAUCGGCUAAUUUGGUACUACAUAUAUAUAAACCACACAAAAGCACACAACAAUUAACCAAACAAACACAAACAAAAUAAAUUCUGAAAUAUAAUAUCCAGUCCAAUUAUACAGUCCCAAAAUAGAAAAAAAUGAAAAAAAAUAUAAAUCCUAUUCGAAACUAGUCCUAAACUAAACUCCACCUGAUGUUACUGGCCUUGAUCGUGCGUCAUCUUCAAGUACAACUUUCUCGUGGCAUUCUCCGGAUAAAGCAAUACAGAUACCUCGGGGAAUUCCCCGGCCAAAUAAGUAUAAUUGAGUUAAAUGCGAUAAUACCAAGUCAUUCAACACAUAUUUCAAACGUUCCAUCAAUUCUCAAUCCCUAAAUUUACCUACCCGAGCCUACUAGUUGCCUACCCAGCUCGACUUAUCAUGGUAGUGUUGUGUUCGACAAAAUUAACAUCAUCACCUAUUUCGAAGUAAACCAACAUCAAUGAAUCAAAAUUAUCAAAAUUCAACUUUACCAAUUUUUUAUUCUCGCCCCAAUUCACUCUUCAACCCAUGAUUAACUCAUUUCAAUACGCUAUCCCUCAAUCGAGAAUAACAAAUAUUCACCGAUCAUGCAUAGCAACAACAAACACUUAAAUGUCACCAACAAUUCAUAUCAACAAACAAAACAAUGGUAUCGAAUCACACGUUCACAAUCAUACAGGAAUUAAAAAGGAAGAGAAGAAAGAAUUGGACCUCAAUGUCGCUUUCAAGUAUUAUUCAAUUAAACGAGAUGAAAUUUUCACCGAAAACCUCAAACCGAACCUCAACUUUCGACCUCGAAUUUAAAACUCAACUCAGAAUAAAAAACCCAGUCUAAAUUUAAUAAAAAAUCUGUGACAAAAUCGAGUAUGACUCCAAUCGACCUUUCGAUUUCUGACCAUAAUCAGUAACUACAACCGAUCGGAAACUCGGGCAGCGGAGUGUACCCUUUUUCUGGCGAAGUAUUCGCUAGAAUUUUCAGAAAAAUGGCCCGUGCGGCUGCAACAACUAAUUUGUGGUUAGAUGUCGGAUGUUACCGAUGGCUAUGGUUGUUGGGUUUGUUGACUUUGCUAUUUCCGGCAAGGGGUGGGUUGUCUGGGCAGCUUGACGGUAGAGAUGGCGAUUCCGGCGAAAGCUACGUCGGAGAAAAAGCUAUUUUUUUCUAUUUUCGCUCAACUCUGUUUCUCUCUCUCUCUGUCCUUCUCUCAAAUCCAAUCUCUUUUACUCGUUUUCCUCAACUCACUAGUGUGUGUGCGUGAAUCUCGUGAAUCAGUAGUGUGUGUUCUUGGUGCUUUGUGUGUGAUGCCAACAAAGAAAAAUAACGUGUAUCUGUAUGUCAAUGUCCUUUUUUUGGUAGAAGAAAAGGGAGAAAAAAAUGGAAUCCCCUGGAAGCUGAUGGUAUGCCCCUUUUAGAGUGAUAUGUGGGCCCCUCCUCUUUUUUUGUAUCUUUUUUCUGAAUCAUUUGUUUUUGUAUUGUUGAAAUGGCGAAAACGUGUAAGGCAUGGGGUAUGGGGUAUAAGGGUAGUUAGAGAAAGGUUGUUAGGAGUAGGUGAUUAGGAUAAAGUUUGUUAGGAUAAGGUUAGGGAUUUAUUGAAUUUUUUUUAUUUUUGUAUUUUUGUGGGGUAUAAUUACAUGUGUGAGGGUACACGGUAGGAUAAUGUAAAAAUGUGUAAAAACGAUAUCGGGGAAGGACGAAAUUAGGUGUCUACAGUAUUAAUUAAUGUGUAUUAUGAAUACCUUAUUUGGUAUAAUUUUUGGUCAAUGUAUAACUAAUGCAAGCAUUAGUUAUACACUCUAUUGUAUAUUAAGGUGUGUGUUACUAAUACCACUCAUUUUCUAUGUAUUAGUAAUGCAAAGUCUUUAAUACAUGCAUUAACUUAUUAAAUGACCCUAAUACCCCUCAAUUUUCUUCUCAAAAUAUUUCAUUAUUCCUUUUCCCGCCAUUUUAAUUUGCAAUAGUGAAUCUUUUCAAAACAUUUCACAAUUUUUUUCCACCAUUUUAAUCUACAACAAUGAAUAAUUGAUUUAAAUAAUUAUAACAUAUUUUUGCUUUGCUUCUAGAGUCUUUAAAAAGAUUUAAAAAAAUUGAGAGUAUUUAUUAAUUUUACGUCUUAUAUUUUAUUGUUGUUUCGUCUAUGUUAAUCCGUUGGCAUAAUAUUUCAUGCGUAAAUACGAAGGUCUUGCAAUUAAUCGGAAACCUCUAUAUACUAGUUCAACAAUACUAAUUAUAUUUGAGAUGACAAAAAAAAUUAUUGCAACAAAGUGUACAAAAUUAAAGAAGGGUAUUUCUGUAAACAAACAUUUUUUAUAGAAAUUAUGUAAGAUGUAUUAUUUCUUAUACAUCAAAUCAAACAAUGCAGAAGAAAUAAUUCAUGCAUAACUAAUACAAGCAUAAAUAAUACAAGCAUUACUAAUACAUUAUAUUUUGCAUUGAUCUUAUACACUCUACCAAACAACCUCUAAAUGCUUUAGUUUUAAACACACCUCUCAGAAUUGCCUUCUCAUCUUCUUAAGGCAUUUUGAGUAUUCUCUCUCUUUUGUAAUAUUUCAAUUGUAUUUUUGGAGUGGAAUAAAUUUUGUCAGUUGUGUUCGAGGACGUAGGUAAAAAAAAUAUUUUUACCAAACCUCGUAAAUUUAAUGUUCUUUUUAUUUUUUUUCUUUUACUAUUUUUAGCGGCUUUUAUUUUGGGAUAGUAGUUGUGCAAUAAUCACACUCUACCCAGUCCGCUUCCGUAACAAUUGGUAUCAGAGUUAGGAUUCUGUCUGAGUAUGCUCUGCAACAUAGCCUGAUCUUCCACAUCAGAAAAGACUUUUUCUUGGGUUUGUAUUGUCAAGAUUUUUUUUUAGUCUGCUCUGUGGUUGCAGCGUAGUCUGAUCUUCCAAACCAGAAAAGAAUUAUCUUAGUUUGUGUGUAGCCAGCUAUUAAAUAGUAUUUAUAGCACAAAAUGGGAGAGGGAAAUCAAGAAGUAUCCAGAUCGGACAUGACAUAGGUGUCCACAUCAGGUGUCAAUAACAUGUCGUUGGUAUCUUCGCUUAUGUCAAGAAUUCAGACAAAUGCGAAUUUUUCAGUUGAAAUAUUUAACGGAAUAGGACACUUUGUGAUGUGUAAAUGCGAGGUCGAAGAUGUCCUUUUUCAACAAGGAUUAGAUCUUGCCCUAGAAGAAGAGAAACCAGAAAAUAUUAAAGAUGCAGAUUGAAAAUAAAUCAAUCAUGUUGCUUGUGGUACCAUUCGGUCCUUCCUUGGAAGAGAACAGAAGUAUCCAUUCACAAAGAAAACUUCUGCAAGUAAAUUGUGGAGGGCAUUGGAGGAUAAAUUUUUGAAGAAAAAUAUUCAGAAUAAACUUUUUAUGAAGAAAAAAAUAUUUCACUUCAUCUAUGUUCCUAGUACCACAAUAAAUGAUUACAUCACCAAUUUUAAUAAAUUAGUUACAGAUUUGCAAAUAUUGGAUGUAACUUUUAUCGAUGGUGAUCUAGCGUUGAUGUUGUUGGGGUCACUUCCCGAUGAGUAAGAGCACCUUGAAACUACUUUACUUCAUGGGAGGGAUGAAAUUUCUAUGAAAGAAGUUUAUUCAGCUUUGUACAGCUAUGAACAACGAAAGAAAGAGAAACAAAAGAGCAUAAAAGGAGAAGCACUAGCAAUGCGAGGCCGUUCUCAAAAUCAAACGAAAACAAAGAAGGAAAGAUCCAAGUCAAGGUCCAGACUUAGCAAAGAUGAAUGCACCUUUUAUUUAAGGAAAAGGGCACUGGAAGAAUGACUGUUCAAAAUUGAAGAAUAAGGCCAAGCCUAACAAAGGGAAGGCUAUAAUGGAUUCAAAUGUAGCUAAUUGUGACGACUCAAAUUUCUCACUGGUUACUGCAGAGUCAUCAAAACCAUCAGAUGUAUGGCUGAUGGACUUGGCUUAUAGCUAUCAUACGUGUCCCAAUUGGGACUGGUUUAUUGAUUUUCAAGAAAGAGAAUUUGGAGUUAUCCACACUGCAAACAACAGCUCUCUUACCGCAAAUGACAUUGGUUCAAUACGUUUGAGGAACCAUGAUAGAAUGAUCAGAACACUAACAGAUGUUCGAUAUGUAUCGAAUUUAAAGAAGAAUCUCAUUUCUGUGGGAACCCUUGAUUCAAAAGGGCACAAAGUUAUUGCAAAAAAUGGAUUGAUGAAGAUAUACUCCAAUGCACUUGUGGUAAUUAAGGCUAUUUGGAGGAACAAUAAUUUGUACCAUUAUCAUGACACUACAAUUAUUCAGACAACAACAGUAACAUCCACUGUUGACAAAGAGGCAGAAGCAACCAGGCUAUGGCAUAUGCGUUUGGCAUACGCCAGAGGCAAAUCCUUGAAAAUUCUAUCAGAUCAAAGACUGUUAAAGGGCGUUAAAUCUGGAAACUUGGAAUUUUGUGAACAUUGUGUGAAGGGAAAGCAAACAAGGUUUAAAUUUGGUACAGCUAUCCAUAAUACUGGAGGCAUUUUGGAUUAUGUACAUUCUGAUGUUUGGGGUGCUUCCAAAACACCUUCAUUAGAUGGGAAACACUAUUUUGUAACCUUUGUUGAUGACUUUUCUCGAAAAUUAUAGGUGUAUACCAUGAAAACAAAAUACGAAGUGUUGGGAAUUUUUGUCAAAUGGAAUACGAUGAUAAAAAAUCAAACAGGCAGAAAGAUCAAGUGUGUACAGAGAUAAUGGAGGUGAAUACAAGAAUGAUCUUUUCAAUAAGGUCUGUGAAGAUAAUGGCAUCGUUAGACACUUCACUGUCAGACAUACACCACAACAAAAUAGAGUGGCAGAACGCAUGAAUCAAACUUUACUGGAGAAGGUGCGGUGUAUGUUGUCCAAUGCUGGCUUGGGCAAAGAAUUCUAGGCUGAGGCAAUAACAUAUGUGUGCCACAUUAUUAAUCGUCUACCAUCUGAUGUAAUUGGUGGGAAAACACCAUUUGAAAAAUGGUAUGGAAAAUCUGUUGUGGAUUACGAUUCUUUACAUGUAUUUGGCUCAACUGCAUACUAUCAUGUGAAAGAGUCAAAAUUGGAUCCAAGAGCUAAGAAGGCUAUCUUUAUGGGAAUUACUUCUGGAGUCAAAGGAUAUUACCUAUGGUAUCCUGAGACAAGAAAAGUAAUAUUUAGCAGAGAUGUUACUUUUGAUGAAUUCGCAAUGAUAAAAAAGGAUGCAGAUAAAGAUACAAAAGUAAAUGAUAGUACUUCAAGGCAGGUGGAGUUUGAGGGAAAAUUUAUUUUUCCUUCACAAAAAGCAGAUGAAGAAACAAAUGAUAAUUUAGAAGCAGAGUCAGUUCAGACAGAGGUUCCAACUCAAGAACCUGAACAACAACUUGAGUCAAUAGCAACCCAGAAACCCAAAAGAAUAAUAAAAAAGCCUAUGCAUCUCGUAGAGACGAUGACAUGUGCAACCUCAAUCAUAAUUGACAGUAUUCCUACCACUUAUAAAGAAGCUAUCCAAAGUUGUGAAGAAAAUAAGUGAAAGGUUGCAAUGAAUGAGGAAAUGAAGUCCCUUCAUCAAAAUAAUACGUGGAAUCUGGCCAACCUCCCGAACGGCAAGAAAACUAUUGGGUGCAAGUGGGUAUAUACAAAGAAAGAAGGAUUUCCCGACCGAAAUGAUGUUUGCUACAAAGCAAGAUUGGUGGCCAAGGGAUAUGCUCAGAAGGAAGUAAUUAAUUACAAUGAAGUGUUUUCUCCAGUUAUAAAACAUUUUUUCAUUAGAAUUAUGUUGGUUUUGGUAGCACAGUUAGAUUUGGAACUAGUUCAGAUGGAUGUAAAAACAACAUUUUUACAUGGUGAUUUGGAGGAGGAAAUCUACAUGACUCAGCCUGAAGGAUUCAUAGUUGCAGGAAAAGAAAACAUGGUGUGCAAACUUGAAAAAUCAUUGUACAGAUUGAAACAGUUUCCUAGACAAUGGUACAAAAGAUUUGACAAGUUUAUAUUGCGCAGAAGUACGUGAGAAGCAAAUACGAUCAUUGUGUGUAUUUGCGCAAGCUUAAGAAUAGUUCCUUUAUAUACCUUCUCAUUUACGUUGAUGAUAUGUUGAUAGCUUCCAAGAAUUUAGCAGAAAUUGAGAAGCUGAAGGCUCAACUAAGUAAGAAGUUUGAGAUGAAGGAUUUGGGAGAUACGAAUAAGAUCUUGGCAUGGAGAUAACAAGGGAUAGACAUUCAAAGAAACUUUCUGUAUCUCAUAAAGAAUACUUGAAGAGGGUGCUAGAUCGAUUUGGUAUGGAUGAAAAAACAAAACCAGUUAGCACUCCAUUGGCUCCCCAUUUUAAGCCCAGUGCUGAUAUGUCGCCAAAGAAUGAAGUAGAAAGAGAAUAUAUGUCAAGGGUACCAUAUGCAAGUGUUGUUGGUAGCUUGAUGUAUGCAAUGGUUUGCAUAAGACCUGACAUUUCACAUAUUGUUGGGAUUGUGAGUAGACAUAUGCAUAAUCCAGGAAGAGAACAUUGGCAAGCUGUGAAAUGAAUUUUGCGGUAUAUUCAUAAUACUGUGGAUGUUGGCUUAGUUUUUUAGCAGGAAGAAAAUUUGUUUGUAGUUGGAUAUUGUGACUUUGAUUAUGCAGGUGAUCCGGAUAAACGAAGGUAAACUACUGGUUAUGUUUUUACUUUUGUAAAAACACCAGUUAGUUGGAAGUCUACUUUACAGUCAACAGUUGCUUUGUUUACAACUGAGGCAGAGUACAUGGCUAUUACAAAGGUUGUGAAGGAUGUUAUUUGGCUUCAAGGAUUGCUUAAGAACUUGGUAUCAGAUAAGAAACUAUUACAAUAUUUUGUGAUAGUCAAAGUGUUAUUCAAUUAGAAAAAAAAACAAGUCUAUCAUGCAAGAACAAAGCACAUUGAUGUUUGGUAUCACUUCAUAUGAGAAAUAAUAGAAGAAGGUGGAGUCACAGUGCAUAAAAUCAAGGCUACAGAGAAUCCUGCUGAUAUGCUAACUAAAGUAGUGACUGCGAUCAAGUUUGGACAUUGUUUGGACUUGAUCAACAUUGUUGAACAUUGAAGUUCAAAAGUUGAAGACAUAAUUGAAAUUUUUCAUGAGAGAGAAUUAGAGAUGUGGGAUAUCCCAAGGUGGAGAUUUGUUGAAAGUGGGAUAUAUCCCACAUCGAUUGUGGGAAGAAAAUGGGAGGGUCUUCCUCCCUAUAAAAGGAACCUAAAUAUUUUAGUUUUAAACACACCUCUCACAAUAGCCUUCUCAUCUUCUUAAGGCAUUUUGAGUAUUGUCUCACUUUUGUAAUAUUUCACUUUUAUUUUUGGAGUAAAAUAAAAUUUGAUCAGUUGUGUCCGAUAACGGAGGUAAAAAUAAUAUUUUAACCGAACCUCAUAAAUUAAGUGUUCUUUUUAUUUUUCCUCUUUUACUAUUUUUUAGCGGCUUUUAUUUUGGGUUAGUAGUUGUGCAAUAAUCACACUCUACCCAGUCCGUUUCCGCAACAUAUAGAAGGCAUUAACAAUCAAAAAAAUUUAAACAAUUAAAUUGAAUUUAUAGGCUUAACAAUUGGUUCGUGUUACAUUAUAUGUAGCUAAAGAAAAUCAUAAUUCAUUACUACUAUUUACAAUUUAAUUUUUUAUCGAUAACUCAUGUUUAUUUAAUAAUGAGACAACUUAUUUAGUGUAUUUUUUUAUUUUCUAGUCUUUCAUCCUUGUUAUGUUAAAUUCAUAUCUACUAUUUUGACAUUUAACAUGCUACUAUAAUCGAUUUGGCUUUAUCUAUUAUUUCCUUCACCACUUAUACAUAUUUAAAAGUUUUAUCAAUAUAAAAGAUAAAUGUAUAUAAUUUUUUUAUAUAUAUUAGCUCAUUUUAAAUUUUUAAAAACUAACGUAAUUAUAGUUUAUAUUUUAUGAUAAUACCAUACGAAAUAUUCUAGUUUGACUCUUUUGAUCUUAUCUCUUUUUGAAUAUUUUUAAUUUUUCUCGUAUCAUGUAAAAGUGUUGUUCUUUUUUUUUAUUUAUGUGGAAGUUUUAUAUUGAUGAUAUAAAUUUAUGUAUGUAUUUAGAUAUAAAUUGAAUCUAAAUUUAACUUACUAAAAUAUGAUAAUUUAUAUAUAUAUAUAUAUAUAUAUAUCUUAAAUCUAAAAGAAAGUAAAAAUGGUCGAGGUUAAAAAUCUCAUGUCCUAAAGAAAUAUUCAAGACUUAAUAAGAAGUGAAUUAAAAAGGGGAGGAGAUGCACCUUUGAUUUUUCUGGCUACUUGAUUCGACGGCCACAUGCUUUUUUUGUUCAAUUUUUCGAUCAAAAGUUUCUCAACUGAAAGAGAAACAUGAAAAAUUAUCAGAAGAGAGAAUUCAUUGUCAAAUUGUUGAAUAUGUAUAACACAUAAAAAAUCUUAAAGUUUAUUAACUAAAAGAAAUAAAGAAAGACAAAGGACGAUGAUUAUGAAUGCAAAAAUACACUUGAAUCAAAGGAAAAUUAAGAAGAAAACAAUCAUAGAAGUAAAAGAAGCAUGUUUCUUGUAAUGUUUUUUUCUAAAAUAUUACUUAAAUUGAAUUGUAUAAAUCCUUUUUUCAUAUAAGGUGAAAUUCUAAUCCAUUCAGAAGUGUUAAAUAUUAUGGUAUCAAAUUAUUUAUGAUAGUGUUAUUUUUAUUACUAAGCAAAUUAUUUAAAAAUUAAUUCUGGGAUCAAGUUAUUUAUGCCAGUAUUUUGUUCCCUUACUAUAUAAAUUACGUAAUUCAUAAAAAUAUUCUAACAAUAACAAUUUAAUAUAAUACUUAAAUAAUAAAAAUCCUCAAACCUAGCAUAAGUAGUACACGUGAAAUCAUGAGUUUUGCAAUAAAAACUUCCUAUUUUUUAGGUGUUAGUUUUCUUUUAUAAAUUUAAUUAUGUCAUAUAGUUCAAAUAAGGAAGGAUUUAUUACAAAAAUUUUAGUUAAUUUAAAAUUUUUAAAUAUUAAAAAAGUAGUAAAAAGAUAAUUUUGCCUAUUACAAAGACUUUUAAUGAAGGGCAAAAGGUUCAAAUCACUUUUGAAAGGGUCUUCACACUUUUAAUAUAUUAUAGAUAUAGAUUAUAGAUUAUUAUAGAUAUUUUAAAAAUUUAAUGAUUUUUGUGUUAAAACUGAUAGUUAAGUGAAUUUAGUUAGAAAAAAGUGAUAGCUAUAUGACCAUGUGUGAAAUUUAUUCAUGAAGUUUGCUCAAACCUUAUAGGAAGUUUAAAAAUGAAAAAAUUAGAUAUAUACACAAGGUAACUAUUAAUUAUUACAUAAAAUUUCUAUUUUAAAAAAUAAUUACAAAAAUUUCAUAUUGAUUACAUAAAAUUCCUUCCUUUUAGUCUGUCUCUCUCUUCAACCUCAUACAUUCCAGAACUCCUGUAUUGUGCUCCAUAUUUGUUCGCCUUUUUCUCCAUUAUUGUACUCCUUAUUUCACUACUAAAAAAAAGAGGGAAAACCGAUCACAAGUGGUCAGUUUUUCCCAUUUUUCGACCACAAAACAGACCAAAAUUUUUUAUCGGAAAAGUAACGGUUGCUUUUUAAAAACCGACCACGUGUGGUCGAUUUUUUAAAAAAUAUAUAUUCAUUUUUAAAAUUCAUUAUCAUUUUAUUUAAAUUAAAAAAAAAUAGGAAAAAAAAAACGACCACAAGUGGACGGUUUUUUAUGAAAUUAAUUAAUUAAUUUAUAAAAAAAUCAACCACAUGUGGUCGGUUUGUAAUUGAAUUAAUUAAUUAAUUUAUAUAAAAAGGGACCACAUGUGGUAGGUUUUUCUUAAAAAUUUUCAGAAGAAAAGAGGCCACAUGUGGUCGGUUUUUUGUAAAAAAAAAUUAAAAAAGGGACCACAUGUGGUCGGUUUAUUGUAAAAAAUUUCAAAAAACACGACCACUUGUGGUCGAUUUUUUUGAUAAUUUUGUAAAAAAAAAUAUUGAAAAUUUCCAAAAUACAAACAUUAAAAAUCAAAUUAUUUACAAUACAGCCCACCAAUCAUUUACAAAUAUUGAAAAUCAAAUCAAAUUAUAUAUAAUACAGCCCACCAACCAUAUAAUAUACAAUCAACCAACCACCAUAAGAAUACAAACAUUAAAAAUUAAAUUAUUUACAAAAUUUAUUGAGGUUACAAAUCCAAACUAUAAAACAUACAAAAGACUAAAAACUACAACUCAUCAUCUACAUCUUCAUUCUCAGCCUCACCCAUUCUAUUAUCAAUAUUUUGUUGAUAUAUUCAGCUAUAAUCAAGUUCCAUCUACACAAUCAAUCACAUUCAAAUAAUUAGUUCAAGUCGCAAAAGUUCACAUUUUAAAUACCUACACCUAAAUAUUUUCAAGUCACUAAUUCACUUAACAAGUUACCAAACUAAACUUAAUUCAAAAUGAAAAAUUCACGUUUCAAGUACCUACACUUAAACAUUUUGAAGUAACUAAUUCACUUGUGAAGUGACCACAGUUUACUAAAAUCAAAGCGCAAGUUCACAUUUCAAGUACCUAAAUUCAAAACAAAAGUCACUAAUAUAUAAUUCAAGUACCUAAACAUUUUCAAGUUACCAACCUAAACUAAAUUCAAAAUGAAAAGUUCACAUUUCAAGUACCUACACCUAAACAUUUUCAAGUCACUUCACAAGUUACCAAACUAAACUAAAUUCAAAAUGAAAAGUUCACAUUUCUAAGUCACUAAUUCACUUCACAAGUUACCUACACUUAAACAUUUUGAAGUCACUAACUCGCUUCUCGAGUGUCCACACUUAACUAUAUUCAAAACACUAGUCCACCUUUCAAGUAACUACACUUAAAACAUUUUCGACUCACUAAUGUACUUCUCUAGUGACCAUACCUAAUUAAAUUCAAAACACAAGUUCACAUUUCAAGUACCUACACUUAAAUAUUUUCAAGUAACUACACUUAAAACAUUUUCGACUCACUAACUCACUUCACUUUUUUAAUUAAACCAUAAUCUACCUCAACCGAAGAAUCCAAGAUAACCAAGCUAAUUCGCAAAAGCCUUUCCUUUCUUAUAGACCAAACCUCAUGUAUUCUUUUAAAUUCCAAGUCUAAGUCUAAGGCUUAAUCUUCUUUCAAUUCUUAAAUCUCACAAUAUUUGUACCAUAUAAUGUAUUUAUUAUUUAAGUGCAUAUACCAUAUCGAAACUGAAAUUACAACAGAAAGAUUAUAAGAAAAAUACUAAACUAAAGUUGAAGUUGUGCAAAUCUGCACCAACCCAAGAGAAAAACACCAUUAACUAGAGCAUAUAAGUUUUAAUUACUCAUACUACCUGAAUCUAUUAAUAAUUUCCAAUGAUUACCACACUUGCCAACUUUUACACCUAAUUAACCUAACUCUCCACUCAAAUCAAUACACCAACACGUCCAGCAACAUGACUACUCUUAUAACUAGACACAUAAUUAGCCUAACAUUCUGUUAACAAACAGUCCAUAUGCAUAUCAAGGAACACCCGUUAUCAAAGUAACAGUACAAAGACACAAAGAUGGGCAAAUUCGCAGCAUAUCAACAGGAUAAAUCUACUAACUCAAUCAACUAGAUUAGAUUUUCAAAAUUAAAGUUAUAAGCUGCAUGCCUAAAAUUUCAUAAAAAAUGCAUUUUCACGAAUGAUAUUUUAAGCAAAACACAAACGCUAAUCACAAGAAAUCGCAUAAGAUCUUAAUCGAGUCUUAUCAAUUUAAGGUCUAUGAAUCUGUCAAAAGAGAAGGAAAAGGGGAGUAGAAGAAAAUCAACAUUGUACAUUCGAAAUCAAACCUAAAAUGGAUUCUUAAGAAUCCAUUAUUUUCUGACGAGCGAGGAGGCUGAUACUGUUGUUGUGGUGAGGGGGUUCGCCGACGGCUGCAUAGCUGCUUAAGCAGCGACUGAUGGCGCUUAAGGCUAUGUCGGCGGCUGGAAUCACGGUGGUUGGUGGCUGGAUUCGCCGGUGUUGAUGGCGAUGGUGGCAGGAGAUAAUAGUUUUGCAGGCUGGGUUCGCGGCGGUUGGUGGCGAUGGUUUUAUGGCAUCUGGCGGCUGUGGAGACGGUAUGCUGGUGUUGUGGUCGUCGGCUAUUUAGAGGUUGGGUCUAGAGAGAGAAAAAAAGAGAAGAGAGAUAAGGAGAGCUUUUGC